rnacentral:lncRNA from 1 species
UUAUUUUCAGCUGACUGAAACCAAGCACGACACUUUGAAACCAAGCUGUAUUAGGCCAGUACAAGUGCCAAAUAGAGCGAAAACACAAUAAAUGAGCAGCAGAGCAUAAGCAGGAAAAUCAUUACAAGAUGAUCAGCAUGUUCCUUGGCUUAAUAGGUGUUGGUCCCGAGCUCUUUACUGUUCUUAAAUUAUUCAGGAAACACAAUGUUGUGAAUUCAAGCACAAGUAAUAUAGCAUGAGGCAUUCCAUGCUAAUCGGUACUUUUAUCAUUGGGAUGAAAAUGAUGUCUUCACCCACAUAUUAGUUUCUGUACAUAUAAAUUUACAUGAUUACUAAACGACAAACGUACAUUGCAUGCUAUGUAGUUACCUUUAUUUAAGAUUUUUUGUCAUCUCACAUAAAAAGGGCAAUGCAGACCUUGCUCACGUCCUGCAAGGACAGUAAAAGACAGUAGCAGCCUAUUUUCCUGUAAUUAAACAUGUCUCCAGAAUAGCAAAACCGUAGUUAACCAUUGACUUGGCAUUUGAUUCAAAAGUAAUUGCAGCUAACAUCAUUCAGAUUAGUACAAAGACCUGCAGUAAACAUGUAUAGCAGAUAAAUGAGAUCAAGCCAUAUGCAGACUGAAGAAUCUGACUGAAGAACUGAAGAAUUGUAUGGGAGCUCACCAGUGACCAGCAGCUGGAGGUUUUCGAGUGAGGCCAUAGGACAGCCAACCUAAUUCUCUAGUACUGACGCCCUGUAAAAUUGAUCCAACGGCUGGUGCCGACCAGAUUGCAAAUAGUAAACUUAGGUUUUGCAGAGAUUUAAUCAGGAUGAUUCUGGAGUGGCAGUGGACGCCACUGAUCCGAGGACAGCGGGGCAAGCAGCUGCGAGCACGAGGAAACGGUGGCGCUGUAGGGUUCUCCCCUAUGGUAAAAGAGGAAGAGCCGCCGGGUGGUAAUUUUGGCCGGCCCAGCCUUGAGGUCGCCCACAUAGUCUGCACUCCUCCCUGGAUGAGCAUGGCGAUGGCCUUGCUUGGAUUUGAUGCCCCCCUACAUGCCUCUCCCCCCUCACCAUAAACUAAAAUCUAAAUGUAUCUUUUAUCGGGCUCGCUCAAUUGUGAGAUUGCGAGAGACAGAGUAGUUGCAGAGAACGGAUGAGUCAGCGCUACAACUUCUUUGCCAAGGCCCAAGGACGGCCAGUUGCUCGACUGACCUGAAGAGAGAUUACAAUAAAAAUUGUCAACCACGAGAGGAG